CAGAAAGGACCGCUGUGUAUGCAGGUUUUCGCUGCAGCUCACUAAUUAGAUUACUAAUUAGAGGACUGAUUGGCUGAGGUGUCCUCACACCUGGGUUUGAACAGCUGACCUAAAGGUCAUACCAAAAACUUGCAAACACUCUAUCCCUUUGCGGAUAAGGGGCCACCCCUGAUCUAACCCUAACACAAUACUCCCUGGUGAUGAAUAUCUUGUUACGAGACCAGACUUUUUUUUUUUAGUAUAUGAUAUGUGAAGAGAGAGAAAUCUUAACAUUCUCUAAGAACAGAAGAGCUCACUGUUAAACCACAAGAAAAAUCAUGUUAACAGUUUUGCAUAUUUGACUUGAGCCCUUGCUCUCAGCAGGCACUGUGCGCGGGGCACCUCUCCCCAGGCAAUGUGCUCACAACAAAUUGAUUUCCCCCGCCUGACUGGAAGGCAGAGAGGUAGGAGGUGCCCUGGUUCUUUCCUGCAGAGAAUGAGUCAGCAUCUGUUGAUCAUAAGUGCCUCUUCGUGGACACGCCUACUCGACUGCAUCGUGAAAGCGGCUGCCACGCUCUUACAAAUGAGCACAGUGCCUUUGGGUGAUGCACACUGCACUCCGGAGUUGUCCUGAGACCAUAUGUUCACAAAUUCUACUCAUUUUUAUUUAUUCAUUUUUUUGCAUGAAUCUGAACUGUUUUGGUAGAUGCUGUGCAGCAUCUGUAGACAAAAUGUGAUACUAUACAGCACAGAAAUUGCUGUGUGAAAACCGAUACAUACAUGAUCCUUACUCCUAAUGAUAUCGAGGUAGGUGAGGUUGUAGAAUGUGUUAUACAACUAGUUCUUAUUUAGGAAUGGGAUAUGAAUGGUUAAGUCUAUCUCUAAUUCUGUGCUUUCAGCCUCAGGAUGCUGCUGUUUUGGAUGCAAGCCUAUCUCAUACAGGAUAUUUUUUUAAAUACUGGAAGUCAAGAAACGAAGAGAAAAGCAUGCAAAAAUCAUGCUCACGAUGGCCAUCAAAUGAGCUCAGAUACCUCUGUAGGAGACCUUGUAAGAAUUAAUGUCUACAAAUAUCUAAUCCACAAGAACAUACAGCAGCCGUCAGCUUAAUUUGUCUUUAUUAAGAAACUAUUUGUUUCAAAAGGCAUUAUUAAAAGUAAGAGUGCACUAACAGGUUCUUUUGAAACCAAAAGCCAUCUGCAUGCUAUUUAUCUCUCAAAGCUUUGGAGAGUCUGUGAGGCUGGUGGCAAAAAGCACCAUCAAACAUUCAUUGUUUUGGGGAAUUCUGUUUGAAACUACAGCAAAGUCUGAAAAAGAGAAGUUAUAUUAGCCAGUACUGACAAAUCAUAUUUGUUUUAUUCUGCAAUUCAAAGCAAACUAUGCAGUGACUUAAAAAAAAGGAUUUCUGAGUCUUAACCGUUAAAAAAAGCAACUGCUUAAAGCAGUACAUGAUAACAGGAAAAUCUGUUGUAAUAAAAAGGUGAAAAUAUGUUCAAUAA